UACGUAGGGUGCAAGCGUUGUCCGGAAUUAUUGGGCGUAAAGAGCUCGUAGCGGUUCGUCGCGUCGGACUGUGGAAAACCCGGGGCUCAACCCCGGGCCUGCAGCCGAUACGGGCAGACUAGAGUUCGGCAGGGGAGACUGGAAUUCCUGGAUGUAGCGGUGAAAUGCGCAGAUAUCAGGAGGAACACCGGUGGCGAAGGCGGGUCUCUGGGCCGAUACGUGACGCUGAGGAGCGAAAGCGUGGGGAGCAACAGG
rnacentral:rRNA from 1 species